GACGAACGCUGGCGGCGUGCUUAACACAUGCAAGUCGAGCGGACUUUGAGAGCUUGCUCUCAAAGUUAGCGGCGGACGGGUGAGUAACACGUGGGUAAUCUGCCCUCAAGUGGGGAAUAACACAAAGAAAUUUGUGCUAAUACCGCAUAAAGUAUGCUAAUCGCAUGAUAGGCAUAAAAAAGAUUUAUUGCUUGAGGAUGAGCCCGCGGCCCAUUAGCUAGUUGGUGAGGUAAAGGCCCACCAAGGCCACGAUGGGUAGCCGACCUGAGAGGGUGAUCGGCCACAUUGGAACUGAGACACGGUCCAGACUCCUACGGGAGGCAGCAGUGGGGAAUAUUGCACAAUGGGGGAAACCCUGAUGCAGCAACGCCGCGUGAGCGACGAAGGCCUUCGGGUUGUAAAGCUCUGUCUUCGCUGACGAAUAAAUGACGGUAAGCGAGGAGGAAGCCACGGCUAACUACGUGCCAGCAGCCGCGGUAAUACGUAGGUGGCAAGCGUUGUCCGGAAUUAUUGGGCGUAAAGGAUGCGUAGGCGGUUUUUUAAGUGGGAUGUGAAAUACCUAGGCUUAACUUAGGAAUGGCAUUCCAAACUGGAAGACUAGAGUGCAGGAGAGGAAAGUGGAAUUCCCAGUGUAGCGGUGAAAUGCGUAGAGAUUGGGAGGAACACCAGUGGCGAAGGCGACUUUCUGGACUGUAACUGACGCUGAGGCAUGAAAGCGUGGGGGAGCAAACAGGAUUAGAUACCCUGGUAGUCCACGCUGUAAACGAUGAGUACUAGGUGUGGGGGGCGAAGCCCUCUGUGCCGCAGUUAACACAAUAAGUACUCCGCCUGGGAAGUACGAUCGCAAGAUUAAAACUCAAAGGAAUUGACGGGGGCCCGCACAAGCAGCGGAGCAUGUGGUUUAAUUCGACGCAACGCGAAGAACCUUACCAGGGCUUGACAUCCAGAGAAUCCCGU
rnacentral:rRNA from 1 species